UACGAAGGGGGCUAGCGUUGCUCGGAAUCACUGGGCGUAAAGGGUGCGUAGGCGGGUCUUUAAGUCAGAGGUGAAAUCCUGGAGCUCAACUCCAGAACUGCCUUUGAUACUGAGGAUCUUGAGUUCGGGAGAGGUGAGUGGAACUGCGAGUGUAGAGGUGAAAUUCGUAGAUAUUCGCAAGAACACCAGUGGCGAAGGCGGCUCACUGGCCCGAUACUGACGCUGAGGCACGAAAGCGUGGGGAGCAAAC
rnacentral:rRNA from 1 species